rnacentral:rRNA from 1 species
UUCGGGGUGCUGGCGAGUGGCGGACGGGUGAGGAACGCGUGGAAAUCUAUCCUGUGGUGGGGGACAACAUUCGGAAACGGAUGCUAAUACCGCAUAUGCUCUACGGGGCAAAGGCCGCAAGGUCGCCAUUGGAGGAGUCCGCGUUGGAUUAGCUUGUUGGUGGGGUAAAGGCCCACCAAGGCGACGAUCCAUAGCUGGUCUGAGAGGAUGGACAGCCACACUGGGACUGAGACACGGCCCAGACUCCUACGGGAGGCAGCAGUGGGGAAUAUUGCGCAAUGGGGGCAACCCUGACGCAGCGAUACCGCGUGGGUGAAGAAGGUCUUCGGAUUGUAAAGCCCUUUUGGUGGGGAAGAUAGUGACGGUACCCACAGAAGAAGCUCCGGCUAACUCCGUGCCAGCAGCCGCGGUAAUACGGGGGGUGCAAGCGUUAUUCGGAAUCAUUGGGCGUAAAGGGCGCGUAGGCGGUCUUGUAAG